CAGGGACAGCCACAGCGCAGAUCAGGGCCUGGCUCCAGUGAGCUCUAAGAGGAGACGGUGACAGCGGCUGAGUUGAGGGUACUGUUCCUGGCAAAAUUGAACUUGUUCAAGGUCUCUUCUAGCAGACAAGUCAGCCGGCUCUGGUCAGCCUAGGGGAGAAGUGCUCAGUGACAUGGGGGCUGAGGAAGAGAAGGCAUGAGGGCAGCCAGGGCAGAUGAAGGCAGAAACCUCACCUCACUAAUGAAGCCCAGCUGUACCAGCUCAGCUGCCAACUCGGGGAUGUUCUCAUCUGACAGAGAAACAGGAGGGGCCAUGGAGACAAUCCACACCCACACAGCCCCCACCUUGCGAGUCUCCACCUCAGCUGGUUCAGGUGUCGGAGUCUUGACAGAGGGAGGCACAACAGGUGAUGUCACCUCCUCCUGCUGUGGCUGCUGGGGCCGAGGCAGCCCAAAGGCUGUCAGAGGAUAGAUCCCAUUCCUGGAAGAAGAUGAAGACAGGUCACAUGGACUCUGUGAAUGCCUUAGGAUACCCAACCCUGCUUGCUUUCUCAAGAAAGCCUGCCUUCUCACUCUGCUCUCACCUGACAUCUUCAAGGAAUUUAUCUAAUUCCAGAGCUGGUGACUGAGAGUACCUGGAGGAGAAAAGAGAAAGGAGAUGGAAGGAAGGAAACAAGCAAAAUAGCAAAUUCAACCAUUCCCAGAGAAUGGACAGUUUACAGAGCCUCAAGAGUGAUAGUGACCAAUUUGCCUCUUUCAGACCCUCUCAGUUACUCACAAAGUCUGAACUGGUUCUCUUCCUGGUCCUGCAGGGAUUUCAGCCAGUACAGCACUGGUAUCCAUGUUUUUGGUGAUCUCCUCCAGAGCGUUCUCUGGGAUCAUGUCUGGAUGGAGUGGGAUGUUAUGAAGGGACAGUCAGAUUAAAUGUCAUAGAAGGCAUGCAGGCAAAGGGGUAAAGAAUCCCUUUGGAGGCCUGGCGCAGUGUCUCAUGCCUGUAAUCCCAGCACUUUGGGAAGCCGAGGUGGACAGAUCACUUGACGCCAGGAGUUCAAGACCAGCCUGGCCAACAUGGCGAAACUCCAUCUCUACUAAAAGUACAGAAAUUAGCCAGGCAUGGUGGCACAUGCCUGUAAUCCCAGCUAUUCGGGAGGCUGAGGCACAAGAAUCGCUUAAGCCCGGGAGCUGGAAAUUGCAAUGAGCUGAGAUCAAGCCAUUGCACUCCAGCCUGGGAGACAGAGUGACACUCUGUCUCAAAAAAAAAAAAAAAAUCCCUUUGGAUAUGGAAGAGGAAAGCAAGCAUGCCAGUGAUAGUUACAGGGUUCCAGACUGGAAGACUAUUCCCCACAGGGCCAAGAGGACUCACGUUGGUGUCCCACAAUGCAGUGGGCAGCAAGGAGUUUGAGCGACGGCACUUCAAACAAUGCUGGGUGGAACAGAAGUUCUCUGGCUGUUGGUCUGCGAGCAGGUUCAGACUGCAGGCACUUUUGAAUGAAUUCCUAGAAAAGAAAAGAAAAGGAACUGGAGCAGGCAUCUGGCAAGCCCCUCAAUGCGUUCAUCUUUAUAACUCUCAUUCUACUUAGCACAAGGCUUUGUACAUAGUAGGGGCUCAGCACUUGCUGAGAAAACAAUAUAUUGAUAAAUGCACCUGAAAGGGCUUCAAAAACUCAAGAUAUUAUAUGAAAGACACCA